AUCCAUGCGCAGUGGCAGUAUCGUAGUCUAUGAGGUUUAACCGAGGCACGAUUAUUGCUAGUUGAAAACUUUACCCAAUACCCCGCCUUGACGACUUGAAAUAUAGUCGGCAAUGGCAAUUUUUGACGGUCUCUAUGGAGA
rnacentral:snRNA from 1 species